rnacentral:rRNA from 1 species
GAUGAACGCUGGCGGCGUGCCUAAUACAUGCAAGUCGAACGAAUAUGUAGCAAUACAUGUUAGUGGCGAACGGGUGAGUAACGCGUUGGUGACCUGCCCCGAAGUGUGGGAUAACAGUUCGAAAGAACUGCUAAUACCGCAUGCGGUCCCCGGGUUUAGAAACCGGUGACUAAAGGAGUAAUUCGCUUCGGGAUGGACCUGCGUCCCAUCAGCUAGUUGGUAGGGUAACGGCCUACCAAGGCAUUGACGGGUAAGGGACCUGAGAGGGUGGUCCCUCACAAUGGCACUGAAACACGGGCCAUACACCUACGGGUGGCAGCAGUAGGGAAUAUUGGGCAAUGGGCGAAAGCCUGACCCAGCAACGCCGCGUGUGUGUCGAAGGUCUUCGGAUCGUAAAACACUUUUCUGGGAGAUGAGAAAGGACAGUAUCCCAAGAAUAAGCCUCGGCCAACUACGUGCCAGCCGCCGCCGUAA